UACGUAGGUGGCGAGCGUUGUCCGGAUUUACUGGGCGUAAAGGGAGCGUAGGCGGAUUUUUAAGUGAGAUGUGAAAUACUCGGGCUCAACUUGAGUGCUGCAUUUCAAACUGGAAGUCUAGAGUGCAGGAGAGGAGAAUGGAAUUCCUAGUGAAGCGGUGAAAUGCGUAGAGAUUAGGAAGAACACCAGUGGCGAAGGCGAUUCUCUGGACUGUAACUGACGCUGAGGCUCGAAAGCGUGGGGAGCAAACAGG
rnacentral:rRNA from 1 species